rnacentral:rRNA from 1 species
UGGCUCAGAUUGAACGCUGGCGGCAGGCCUAACACAUGCAAGUCGAACGGUAGCACAGAGAGCUUGCUCUCGGGUGACGAGUGGCGGACGGGUGAGUAAUGUCUGGGAAACUGCCCGAUGGAGGGGGAUAACUACUGGAAACGGUAGCUAAUACCGCAUAACGUCUUCGGACCAAAGUGGGGGACCUUCGGGCCUCACACCAUCGGAUGUGCCCAGAUGGGAUUAGCUAGUAGGUGGGGUAAUGGCUCACCUAGGCGACGAUCCCUAGCUGGUCUGAGAGGAUGACCAGCCACACUGGAACUGAGACACGGUCCAGACUCCUACGGGAGGCAGCAGUGGGGAAUAUUGCACAAUGGGCGCAAGCCUGAUGCAGCCAUGCCGCGUGUAUGAAGAAGGCCUUCGGGUUGUAAAGUACUUUCAGCGGGGAGGAAGGCGAUG